UACGUAGGGUGCGAGCGUUAAUCGGAAUUACUGGGCGUAAAGCGUGCGCAGGCGGUUCGUCGUGCCCGAUGUGAAAGCCCCGGGCUCAACCUGGGAAUGGCAUUGGAAACUGGCGGACUCGAGUGUGGCAGAGGGGGGUGGAAUUCCGCGUGUAGCAGUGAAAUGCGUAGAGAUGCGGAGGAACACCGAUGGCGAAGGCAGCCCCCUGGGCUAACACUGACGCUCAGGCACGAAAGCGUGGGGAGCAAACAGG
rnacentral:rRNA from 1 species